GAAAAUACGGUGGUGAGAUUUAGAACCCGGUUGAGAGAAAGCUGUGUCAGAGAGAGAUAGCGCUAAGAGACAGAUAGAGAGGCCGAUGACGAUGGUUCCGCCGGUGUUACAACCUUCUCACCGGCGUCAAUAACACUUAACGACGACGUUUUGAUCAUUGUGGUGGCGGCGAACAUGGUUUGUACCGAAGAGCGAUGAGGUAUGUUCGAUCAGAUGCUGCCAUAGCUCUGACAAUGUCGGCGGUCAAGCGGUUAGGGUUUCGAUCAACUUCCGCAACGUCUGUUGAGGUUCCGAUGAACGGCCAGGAGAAGAUUUCAGUGAAUGGGUAAGCACACAAGCCUAAUUAUGCGUAUUGCUUCAGUGUGACGGUGAUGAUGUUGUAACGGUGUGGUUGUUAGGGUUUGUUUGCCCUAAUAAGUCGUUCUCGAACCCUAGGUGGAGAUAAGAACUAAUGGUGGACCAAUGAAGAUUGAUCAGGUUUAGUUGGUAAGAGUGGGUCGAAAUGGAAGUUAUGGAGGAGUUCUUUGGUGGAAAUCGAUUCAGAUUGGAAAGGGUUUAAAGGGAAGUACAGGGAAGUGGGAUCGGAUGGGUCGCAUUCGAGAUAAUAUCUCCCGUGCAGAAGAGGCAACAAGCUGAAUGGGAAGUUGCAUGUUCUAUGUAUAUGGCAUUGAUUUGAUCUUUGAAUCAAUGAUGAUUUGCACUUGUUCUCUUUUUUUUUUUGUUGUUGAAAAGGAAUUUUACAUUCUAUUUUUGAUAUGUUUGCAGCCACCAGGAACAAUAUAUGCUUUGAAGAUUCUGAGCUUCAACAGCUAAUGCAGGAAUGAACAUGUAAGAAUAAAGAGGCUUAUUAGAAAAACUUUUAACAUGAUACAAAAACUUGCUGGCAAUGAGAAUAGAGAGGCGGCGGCGGCGGUUCCAUAGGCUUGGAGGGUGGUGGCGACCACCUCAGUCAGAUCCAAGUGUUCUUUGGGUAUCAACUCAAUACACAUAUCAAACCCAUACCCUGUGAUGCUAAAGUUGUUAUGUCAUGAAAAGAGUGUAUUUGUGAACCAACUAGAGCGAGGAGAUAAAUCGCAGGGGAACAAGGAGGGUUAAAGGCCAUAUUGAAGAGAGGAACGUUUUCAGUAGGUGGUCAUCGAAGUGUUUUUGAAGCUGUUUAGUUUCGGGAUCAAAAAGAACCAUUAGAGACAUGGUAACAGGUCCAUACAUUUUUGACUGAAUACACAAUCAUGAUUGGCUUUGAAAUUGGUAACAUCAUCAAGCAUGAUACCUUGCCCAGGUGUUGAUUUUAUAAAGACGACCAUGAAUGAAGAGGAGCUCAAUUUUUCGGAUCAUCCAACACCCCUCCGUCAUCAGUCGUGACCUGUUUCCACCAAUCAUCACCCCUCCACGUUGUUUCUUUUCAAUUUUAUUUAGGCAUUUUUUAUGGUUUUUUAGUCCAUGAUUCCAUGUUACGUCAGCGGGUCGGUUACCUUCAAAUAAAUCUACUUUUGUUAAGUGUUAUGAAUGAAAGAGGUGGUGGUGAAUUUAUUUAUGAAAUUAUCUUGGUUAUUUUCUGCUUGGAUCAAUCAGUCAGUUGUCUCUGCUAUCUCGAUUAUGGUAAUUCGAGAAGGUGUUCUUAGACACCGAGUUUUAGUGUUGGUGGUGAGUUUGUAUCUAGCAAAUAAUAUUGCAGCCCUAUUUUGUAGACUGGUGAAUUAUGUAACCCAAUUGAAGAAAUCUUUGAAUCCUCAAGUUGAAAGCCAGGUUUACAAUACAUUGUUAACAAGUAGUCAAAUUGUAAGGUAACAAGUUAGAUUGAAAGGGCCACAUUUGCAUCUUGCCCUUUGUAAAAAGUGAAACGGCAUGUUAUAUUUCGUAGACAACUAUAAUUAAUGUACGAUAACGACUUAGAUAAUUGACUGAAUGAUAUAUUAAAUUUACUA